rnacentral:rRNA from 1 species
GACGAACGCUGGCGGCGUGCUUAACACAUGCAAGUCGAACGGUAAGGCCCCAGCUUGCUGGGGUACACGAGUGGCGAACGGGUGAGUAACACGUGGGUGACCUGCCCUGCACUUCGGGAUAAGCCUGGGAAACUGGGUCUAAUACCGGAUAGGACCGCACCGUGAGGGUGUGGUGGAAAGUUUUUCGGUGUGGGAUGGGCCCGCGGCCUAUCAGCUUGUUGGUGGGGUAAUGGCCUACCAAGGCGGCGACGGGUAGCCGGCCUGAGAGGGUGGACGGCCACAUUGGGACUGAGACACGGCCCAGACUCCUACGGGAGGCAGCAGUGGGGAAUAUUGCACAAUGGGCGGAAGCCUGAUGCAGCGACGCCGCGUGGGGGAUGACGGCCUUCGGGUUGUAAACUCCUUUCACCAUCGACGAAGGUUUUCUGAUGGUAGAUGGAGAAGAAGCACCGGCUAACUACGUG